rnacentral:rRNA from 1 species
GGGUUGUGAGGUUAAGCGACUAAGCGUACACGGUGGAUGCCCUGGCAGUCAGAGGCGAUGAAGGACGUGCUAAUCUGCGAUAAGCGCCGGUAAGGUGAUAUGAACCGUUAUAACCGGCGAUUUCCGAAUGGGGAAACCCAGUGUGAUUCGUCACACUAUCAUUAACUGAAUCCAUAGGUUAAUGAGGCGAACCGGGGGAACUGAAACAUCUAAGUACCCCGAGGAAAAGAAAUCAACCGAGAUUCCCCCAGUAGCGGCGAGCGAACGGGGAGGAGCCCAGAGCCUGAAUCAGCAUGUGUGUUAGUGGAAGCGUCUGGAAAGGCGCGCGAUACAGGGUGACAGCCCCGUACACAAAAGCGCAUGUGCUGUGAGCUCGAUGAGUAGGGCGGGACACGUGGUAUCCUGUCUGAAUAUGGGGGGACCAUCCUCCAAGGCUAAAUACUCCUGACUGACCGAUAGUGAACCAGUACCGUGAGGGAAAGGCGAAAAGAACCCCGGCGAGGGGAGUGAAAAAGAACCUGAAACCGUGUACGUACAAGCAGUGGGAGCCCCACCACUAAGCCAGUGGUGAACUCCACAUACGCAUCCUUUGCUGAGGAUACGGUUAACGGAGCGAAAGCGACGUUCAACCUCAAAAGAAGCAGAGGGGGCUUAGUGGUGGGGUGACUGCGUACCUUUUGUAUAAUGGGUCAGCGACUUAUAUUCUGUAGCAAGGUUAACCGAAUAGGGGAGCCGGAGGGAAACCGAGUCUUAAUUGGGCGUUAAGUUGCAGGGUAUAGACCCGAAACC